CUACGGGGCGCACCAGUGAGGAAUAUUGCACAAUGGGGGGAACCCUGAUGCAGCAACGCCGCGUGGAGGAUGACGCAUUUCGGUGUGUAAACUCCUUUUAUAUGUCAAGAAAAUGACGGUAGCAUAUGAAUAAGCACCGGCUAACUCCGUGCCAGCAGCCGACGGUAAUACGGAGGGUGCAAGCAUUACUCGGAAUCACUGGGCGUAAAGGACGCGUAGGCGGGUUGGAAAGUCAGGUGUGAAAUCCUACAGCUUAACUGUAGAACUGCACUUGAAACUUCUAAUCUAGAGUAUGGGAGGGGGAGAUGGAAUUAGUGGUGUAGGGGUAAUAUCCGUAGAUAUCACUAGGAAUACCUAAAGCGAAGGCGAUCUCCUGGAACAUUACUGACGCUAAGGCGUGAAAGCGUGGGGAGCAAACAGGAUUAGAUACCCGUGUAGUC
rnacentral:rRNA from 1 species